AACACUUCUCUCUCCCUUAUCUCUUUUGUACGUAUUAUGCAGCCGGUAUUUCAUCUUCUCCUUCUUCCUGGCCCUUUGUGGCGCCAACGCACGGAGGCGAUAAUCAACGUAGCAAAAGGCGGCGACGUGGAGGUUCGGAGCGAAAGCCAGCUCGGAAGAGGUUAGUGUGAAUCUCACCAUCUACUUUUAGGUUUUUUUCCGAAUCUUUGUUUGGAUUUUUUGAAUCUGCAAAUUGAUUUUGUGGAAAAGAAAGUACUUUCUAAAUCUGUUAAUUUCUUAUUUCGCACAGUACGUACAAAACUUGUUGAUUACUUUUUUUUCCGUGAAUCUGUGAAUUGCGUCUUUUGCACAGAGCAUACAUAACUUGUGAUUUCAUGUAGGAAAAUAUAAGAACUUUCUGAAUCUGUGAAAAUAAGAUUCAUAAUAACUCUAUUGAAAGAACAUUCUAUUCAUUGGGGCAUUUUUAAUAUUCAACAAUUGAGAACUUAGAUGCAACUCAUUAGGUUCAUAAACUCAUAUACAAUUCAUCAUAAACUCAGGAACAACUCAUCCAUCCUCAUAAGCUUUAAGGCAUUCUCCUGUGUUCCAAUCUGUCAACCCUAUCUCGUAAUGCAUCUACUUCAUUGCGAGGUUGUGGAAGUCCAUGAAAAUAUUAUUCUCAAAAUUUACCGACUGCACAUAAUUUGGACUUCGUAAUGGAGCACUUUGUGUUGGUGCCAAUGAUGCUUAAAGCUCCAAAUUCUCAACACGCAGAUCAUGAAUUUGGUUCCUCAUACUCUCCAUCAUAUUCGCCAUAUUUAACUUCUCGUUUACAAUAGCAACUUUCACGUGAAACCAUUCAAAGUAACCACAACCGGUGCCAUCCUAUAGCAUGUAUGGAUUUCACGAGUGUUAGUUACUACAAGAAGGAGGCCCUAAAAUGGUAGGUAUGAACAAUGUGUUCACCUUUAAAUCGUAGUUUGCACAACCAAAAAUCUUUCAAUUCGGGUUUUGCGCUGAGUGUGAGAUACGACGGGAAGACUAUACCCCACAAUUUCACAAAACAUGAGCAUCCUCGUAACCAAACUCAUCACAUGAUUUCAUUGAUUGUUUCAUUAUGGAAAUGAUGUUCUCAACUGUUGCAUAAACGUUUAAGUAAAAUCAAAUCCAAAUACAGAGAAUCUAAUCGAUGUCAUCAAACUAAUGAAUCCAUAUAAACAAGCUACUCGAUUUGGGCAAGCAAACUACUCCAUCUAAACAAGCUAAUGGAUUUUAACAAACAAACUAAUCAAUACAACAAGCUAAUGAAUUUUAUCAAAAAACUGUAAUCAUCAAACAAGACAAUAAAAAACAAGACAGUUAAGCUUUCCCAUAGAGGAAACCUCUAUCCACAAUACCUUCAUGAUUCCAACGUCUUGGAUCAAACAUCCCCUUCUGAUUUUGGAGUUUAAGGUGAGUUAGCAGUUUCAGAAGAUCAAUUGAUUGUUUGCGGGAAAAAAAGAAAAUGGCAUUGGGGGAGGACAGGUGCGUGGAUAAGAAAAGGAGGAGAAUAGAAAUGGUGGUAUUUCAAUAUUUUCAGUUCAUGGAAAGUUAUAGGUCAAAUCCGGUAUGUUAAAUUGGGUUUAUCAUAUGGAAAAAUGGCCUUUUCUACAGUUAAUUGGACUCUCACAGUUAUUUGGACUCCGAUGAAAAAUAAUUUCCCCCCAUAAAUAAACUCAAUUAAUAGGAAACCGCAGUCAUAUACUUCAAUUGAAUUAAUCAAUUCCUUAAAAAAAUGGAUGGCACUUAACUGAUAAUCCAAAUAUUUGCAAACACAAAACAAAAGUGACUGGAAGGUGCAAUAGUAAUUUUAACGUGUCCAUAUAUUAAUUUGGCAGUCCAAAAUACCAAAAACGAAAACUAUAAAAGUUCAAUAUCCGGGAAGUUAUAGAAAAUAAUACAUGUGACAAAAAAGAAGUUUGAUAAAAGUAGGAGGAGAAUAGAAAUGGUGGUAUUUCAAUAUUUUCAGUUCAUGGAAAGUUAUAGGUCAAAUCCGGUAUGUUAAAUUGGGUUUAUCAUAUGGAAAAAUGGCCUUUUCUACAGUUAAUUGGACUCUCACAGUUAUUUGGACUCCGAUGAAAAAUAAUUUCCCCCCAUAAAUAAACUCAAUUAAUAGGAAACCGCAGUCAUAUACUUCAAUUGAAUUAAUCAAUUCCUUAAAAAAAUGGAUGGCACUUAACUGAUAAUCCAAAUAUUUGCAAACACAAAACAAAAGUGACUGGAAGGUGCAAUAGUAAUUUUAACGUGUCCAUAUAUUAAUUUGGCAGUCCAAAAUACCAAAAACGAAAAAUACAAAAGUUCAGUUCACGGAAAGUUAUAGUAAAUAAUACAUGUGACCAAAAGAGAAAUUUGAUAAAAGUUUUUUUUUAAAACGGAAAUUAAAAAACGGUAGAGAUUAAAAUCCACCAAUGGGCGGCCCAGAUUAAAUUCUCUAAAUGAGAGUAUCGGUAUUCCGAGAAUACUGAAGAGUUUUUCUUGAAAUAAUAAGUUUGAGUUUGUGUGUUUUGAGAUAAAGGCUAGUAAUCUAUACUCAUUUGAUUCGUUUAAGUGCGUGUUGAUUCAUACUUGGAGGAUCAUUGGUUCGUUUGAGUGUGUGUCGAUUUGUACUUGGAGGUCUAUUAGUCAUAUAAGCGAGAUAGUCACUCUCUAUCAUGGCCGACAUCUAUCUUGCUUCUUUCUAUUAUCGAAGAUUUCGAGUUCAAUUGUUUCGUGCCAAUAUUGUUCUUGGGUUUCAUCGUAAUUGUUGGUAUGGUUAACAACUUAACAUAACCUCUGUCACGUGAUUAUGUACUGCAUUUCCUCGACCUCCAUCCAGGUGCUUUGGAAUGGUUCUUGCUCAGAAAACUUCAAACCUAUUGAUGACGUUUGAUUUAUCAUGUUCAUCGCUCUCAUUUAAGCAACAUUGCAUGCAUUAUUGUAUAACUUUGGGUAUAACUUUAAGGUGUUUCUUGCAUUUUAAACUUCUAUCUCGAUUUAAUGUCUCAACCCCGCUUGGGGUCCAUUUGAUGUCGGUUUUGAGUGUUUUCUAUAAUUUUUAGGUACAAGACGACAUCAAGGCAUUAAGUUGAGUGAUUCAACGUCCUUGGAUGAGAUAGGAUGAAUCGGAGGAUAAAAAAAUACAAAGUGUUAAAAAUGUGCAAAAGUGCGCUAUUAGUCUUCUAAGGUGCAAAAGUGCGCUAUUACUCAACCUACGGCUCACAUUAGAACAACAGGAGACAAUCCCCAGACCACUAAACAUGUAAUUGUAGCCAUAAGAUCUACAAUUGUGUGGUGCUCAUUAACACAUCCUUAGGCGCGCUUUAGCACAUCCGUCAAUGAUUUCGUUUUGUCUCCUUUUUAGACCAACCCUCCUUCAAUCAGAACGAGACAACCUGUAAACGAAAUUGAGAGUAUUUUUCAGAGACUUUCAAGCAACAAGAAAAUGAUGACUUCAAUGAGCUCAGAUCGUUCAUAGCAUAAUCAAGAUUGGAAGAUCUCAGUUUUAGAGUUCUUCACCGAAAUUAGGUUUUCAGAAUUCUUUUUGUAAACCUAGUUUCAAUCGUUUUCUUAUAUGAAUGAAGCGACAUGAAGAUCAACCAUUGGGACAAAAUCCUGAAGGUUUCAAAAGGAUGAGCAAAUCCAAGAAAAAAAUGAUGGUUUUCAUACCUAGACCGACCACUCACGUAAAU
rnacentral:lncRNA from 1 species